rnacentral:rRNA from 1 species
AACGCGAAGAACCUUACCCAGGCUUGACAUCCUUGGAAUUUCUCCGAAAGGAGAGAGUGCUUCGGAACCAAGUGACAGGUGAUGCAUGGCCGUCGUCAGCUCGUGUCGUGAGAUGUUUGGUUAAGUCCAUCAACGAGCGCAACCCUUUUAGCUAGUUGUAUUUCUCUAGCUAGACUGCCCUGGUAACAGGGAGGAAGGAGGGGAUGAUGUCAGGUCAGUAUUUCCCUUACGUCUGGGGCUACAAACACGCUACAAUGGCCGGUACAAAGAGCUGCCAAGUCGCGAGACGGAGCAAAUCUCAUCAAAGCCGGUCUCAGUUCGGAUUGCAGGCUGAAACUCGCCUGCAUGAAGCUGGAAUCGCUAGUAACGGUAGGUCAGCACACUACCGUGAAUACGUUCCCGGGCCUUGUA